rnacentral:rRNA from 1 species
AACGAACGCUGGCGGCAUGCCUAACACAUGCAAGUCGAACGAGACCUUCGGGUCUAGUGGCGCACGGGUGCGUAACGCGUGGGAACCUGCCCUUAGGUUCGGAAUAACUCCCCGAAAGGGGUGCUAAUACCGGAUAAUGUCUUCGGACCAAAGAUUUAUCGCCUUUGGAUGGGCCCGCGUUGGAUUAGCUAGUUGGUAGGGUAAAAGCCUACCAAGGCGACGAUCCAUAGCUGGUCUGAGAGGAUGAUCAGCCACACUGGGACUGAGACACGGCCCAGACUCCUACGGGAGGCAGCAGUGGGGAAUAGUGGAAAAUGGGCGAAAGCCUGAUCCAGCAAGGCCGCGUGAGUGAUGAAGGCCUUAGGGUUGUAAAGCUCUUUUACCCGGGAUGAUAAUGACAGUACCGGGAGAAUAAGCUCCGGCUAACUCCGUG